AAUAUUGGACAUUGGGCGAAAGCCCGAUCCAGCCAUGCCGCGUGGAUGAUGACGGCCCUAGGGUUGUAAAGUCCUUUCGAUGGGGAAGAUUAUGACGGUACCCGUAGAAGAAGCCCAGGCCAACUUCGUGCCAGAUGGCGCGGUAAUACGAAGGGGGCUAGCGUUGCUCGGAAUCACUGGGCGUAAAGGGCAAGUAGGCGGCUUUUUAAGUCAGGGGUGAAAUCCUGGGGCUCAACCCCAGAACUGCCUUUGAUACUGGAGAGCUUGAGUUCGGGAGAGGUGAGUGGAACUGCGAGUGUGGAGGUGAAAUUCGUAGAUAUUCGCAAGAACACCAGUGGCAAAGGCGGCUCACUGGCCCGAUACUGACGCUGAGGUGCGAAAGCGUGGGGAGCAAACAGG
rnacentral:rRNA from 1 species